UACCUGUACAUGAUCUAUUUCGGUAUAGGGGGGGAUUGCACGUAAGGACACCGGGUCAUAGGGCUUCAUGCACGGAGCCACGCAAUCCAUCUGGAGGACAUCGCAGCUUCCGGUAUAUGUUGUUAUACACGAAAAGCGUAUAUUCCUACCUGUUAAGAACCGCCAAAAUGGUGAAUUUUUGCGCUGUAAAAAAUUGUGGAAGUUAGGGUAAGCGUGAGAGACAUGUACCCAACCUCAGAAUUCCAAAAGUGAAGCGAAAUGAAGGUAAAGAGAAGCGAGAGCCGA